GACGAACGCUGGCGGCGUGGAUUAGGCAUGCAAGUCGAACGGUAUCAUCCUUUCGGGGGUGAGAGAGUGGCGAACUGGUGAGUAACACGUAGGUUAUCUACCCUCAAGACGGGGACAACCCAGGGAAACUUGGGCUAAUACCGGAUGUGAGCAACUUUUAGUUGUUUGAAAGGUGGCGUAAGCUGUCGCUUGGGGAUGAGCCUGCGUCCUAUUAGUUAGUUGGUGAGGUAACGGCUCACCUAGGCAAUGAUAGGUAGGCGGCCUUAACGGGUGGUCGCCCACACUGGGAUUGAGAUACGGCCCAGACUCCUACGGGAGGCAGCAGUCGAGAAUAGUCUACAAUGGUCGGAAGACUGAUAGUGCGACGCCGCGUGAACGAUGAAUCCCUUCGGGGUGUAAAGUUCUUUUAUAUGUGAGCAGUGCUUCUUAUAUUAACAGUAUGGGGAGAGAGAUAUUAGCAUAUGAAUAGGCAACGGCUAACUCCGUGCCAGCAGCCGCGGUAAA
rnacentral:rRNA from 1 species